CAGCAGCCGCGGUAAUACGAAGGGGGCUAGCGCUGCUCGGAAUGACUGGGCGUAAAGGGCGCGUAGGCGGCGGCCAAAGUCAGGCGUGAAAUUCCCGGGCUCAACCUGGGGGCUGCGUUUGAUACUUGGUUGCUUGAGUGGGGAAGAGGGUCGUGGAAUUCCCAGUGUAGAGGUGAAAUUCGUAGAUAUUGGGAAGAACACCGGUGGCGAAGGCGGCGACCUGGUCCUUUACUGACGCUGAGGCGCGAAAGCGUGGGGAGCAAACAGGAUUAGAUACCCCAGUAGUCCCUGUCUCUUAUAC
rnacentral:rRNA from 1 species